rnacentral:rRNA from 1 species
UGGGGAAUUUUGCGCAAUGGGGGAAACCCUGACGCAGCAACGCCGCGUGAGUGAUGAAGGCCUUCGGGUCGUAAGGCUCUGUCAGAGGGGAAGAAAUGCAGGGGCGCUAAUAUCGUUCUUGUUUGACGGUACCCUCAAAGGAAGCACCGGCUAACUCCGUGCCAGCAGCCGCGGUAAUACGGAGGGUGCGAGCGUUGUUCGGAAUUAUUGGGCGUAAAGCGCGUGUAGGCGGUUUGAUAAGUCUGAUGUGAAAGCCCCGGGCUCAACCUGGGAAGUGCAUUGGAAACUGGCAGACUUGAAUACGGGAGAGGGUAGUGGAAUUCCUAGUGUAGGAGUGAAAUCCGUAGAUAUUAGGAGGAACACCGGUGGCGAAGGCGGCUACCUGGACCGAUAUUGACGCUGAGACGCGAAAGCGUGGGGAGCAAACA